rnacentral:rRNA from 1 species
AGGUGGCAAGCGUUAUCCGGAUUUAUUGGGCGUAAAGAGCGCGAAGGUGGUUAAUUAAGUCUGAUGUGAAAGCCUUCGGCUUAACCGUGGAGGGUCAUUGGAAACUGGUUGACUUGAGUGCAGAAGAGGGAAGUGGAAUUCCAUGUGUAGCGGUGAAAUGCGUAGAGAUAUGGAGGAACACCAGUGGCGAAGGCGGCUCUCUGGUCUGUAACUGACGCUGAGGCUCGAAAGCGUGGGGAGCA